UCCCUAGUGGUCCAGUGGUUAAGACUGGUGCUUCCAACACAAGGGGUCUGGGUUCAACGCCUGGCUGGGGAA
rnacentral:tRNA from 1 species